CCAGCCGGCCGGACGGCCGCCUCGCCAGAUCUCCGCAAGGAGGGCGGGGAGGAAAGUCCGGGCUCCAUGGAAGAACGGUGCCGGGUAACGCCCGGCGGGGGCGACCCCAGGGAAAGUGCCACAGAAAGCAAACCGCCCCGCCUGCCGAUCGGCACACCAGCGGAUGCGCCGCUCGGCCGGCGGGGUAAGGGUGAAAGGGUGGGGUAAGAGCCCACCGCGUCGCCGGCAACGGGGACGGCACGGUAAACCCCACCGGGAGCAAGACCAAGAAGGGACGGCGCGGGCUUCUGCCCAGGCUGCUUCCGAGCCAGCCGUCCGGGUCGGUCGCGCGAAGCGUCCGGCGACGGGCGCUCCAGAUGAAUGGCCGUCGCGUCGCGGGCUCCGGCCCGCGGCCUUACAGAACCCGGCUUACAGGCCGGCUGGCACU
rnacentral:RNase_P_RNA from 1 species